UACAGAGGUGCCCAGCGUUGUUCGGAUUUAUUGGGCGUAAAGAGCUCGUAGGCGGUUCGUCGCGUCGGCUGUGAAAACCCGGAGCUCAACUCCGGGCCUGCAGUCGAUACGGGCGGACUUGAGUGUUGCAGGGGAGACUGGAAUUCCUGGUGUAGCGGUGAAAUGCGCAGAUAUCAGGAGGAACACCGGUGGCGAAGGCGGGUCUCUGGGCAACUACUGACGCUGAGGAGCGAAAGCGUGGGGAGCGAACAGG
rnacentral:rRNA from 1 species